GGAUGUGAGGGCAAUCUGGCUGAAACACCUGUCACCGCAUUGAUUGCCAGGGCUGACUGGAUGAUGCUGCUCACCCUCAUCCCUUAAUUUCUCCUUCUGUGUCUUUCUGGAAGCCUUGGGCUUGGUGAAAAGGGAAGACUUUCCCAAAGACAGGAGGCCAUUCUGCAAUUAUUAAAGAUAUGUGGGUAGUAGGUUGACCAGCUUUCCCUUUUUACCUGGGACUGAGGGUUUCCUGGGAUGCACGACUCUAGUGCUAAAACCAGGAAACCCAAAAAACCCAGUGCCAUUGAGUUGAUUCUGACUCAUAGUGACCCU
ensembl:misc_RNA 7SK 7SK RNA